GACGGGUGAGUAAUGCCUAGGAAUCUGCCUGGUAGUGGGGGAUAACGUUCGGAAACGGACGCUAAUACCGCAUACGUCCUACGGGAGAAAGCAGGGGACCUUCGGGCCUUGCGCUAUCAGAUGAGCCUAGGUCGGAUUAGCUAGUUGGUGAGGUAAUGGCUCACCAAGGCGACGAUCCGUAACUGGUCUGAGAGGAUGAUCAGUCACACUGGAACUGAGACACGGUCCAGACUCCUACGGGAGGCAGCAGUGGGGAAUAUUGGACAAUGGGCGAAAGCCUGAUCCAGCCAUGCCGCGUGUGUGAAGAAGGUCUUCGGAUUGUAAAGCACUUUAAGUUGGGAGGAAGGGUUGUAGAUUAAUACUCUGCAAUUUUGACGUUACCGACAGAAUAAGCACCGGCUAACUCUGUGCCAGCAGCCGCGGUAAUACAGAGGGUGCAAGCGUUAAUCGGAAUUACUGGGCGUAAAGCGCGCGUAGGUGGUUUGUUAAGUUGGAUGUGAAAUCCCCGGGCUCAACCUGGGAACUGCAUUCAAAACUGACUGACUAGAGUAUGGUAGAGGGUGGUGGAAUUUCCUGUGUAGCGGUGAAAUGCGUAGAUAUAGGAAGGAACACCAGUGGCGAAGGCGACCACCUGGACUAAUACUGACACUGAGGUGCGAAAGCGUGGGGAGCAAACAGGAUUAGAUACCCUGGUAGUCCACGCCGUAAACGAUGUCAACUAGCCGUUGGAA
rnacentral:rRNA from 1 species